AUAGGUUUUCUCGUUCCGUGUUGCUGUUGCGGCGAUCAGGCUUUGAUUGACAUGUGACAACAAACCGGAAAAAUGUUGAGUUCAGGGACGGACCAAAGAGUUCUUUAAAUUGAUUUUUCUGCAUUUUAAUUUAUUUACACUACGAGUCUAAUGGUGUGUGAUAAAAAAACUAUAAAUAUUAUGAUAAAUGAGAUGAAACAAUUAUUUUGAUGGAGUUUAUAAAAUAUUAGGAUCUAUUAUAUUCUUUUUUCUUUAACUGUCAAUUUUUUGACGUAUCUCAUAUAUUAUAGUAUUACAAUGAAGUGCUCUAAUUUAUCUGUUAAAAAAGGUUUCAUCACUGUUUCCUGUAGUAAUUCUCAAUAAUGUUUUAAAUAGGAUAUAUUAAAUAGGAUAUAUUAUCUAAAGUAAACAGGCUUUUAAGCCUUCAAUUUGCCCCAAUUGACAUGAAGUGCGCAUUUCGAAAAGCCAGUGAACGCAGCGUCAUACGGGCACCCCCACCCCAAUCCCCCGGAAACCCCCGGAUGAACCCGCAGGAAGGCGCGCGGCUGAAGAACUUCUUGGACAGCUGGAAGGAUAAACGUUGAAUGACGAGGCGUUUUUCCAUCUUAAAUUUAAAAGGCCGCAGCAUCACGGUGAAGGCCUCUUCUGUAGAGGACGGGGGCGGAAACGUCACGUGGUCUCCGCAGAGACUGGUCAGUUAUUUGGAGACAACAUGUACAAAUAGUUCCUGGACUGAUCUUCUGCUAACUUUGAGAUGGAGAGGCUGUCAGGUUCAUCUGUUUCAGGGUCCUGCAUGCUCUCCCUCCAUGUUGGCUGUAGCAGUGGAUGGAACUUGCAAAAUAUACUGUUUUAGAGCCAACUGGGGCUCAGUGGUUAUUUGGAAGAUGCGUUUUUGACCAAAAACACUGUGGUGACCUCCUUUGUGAACUGCAUUCAUGGGGAAAUAGAAUAUAAUCCUGGAGAUGGGAGAUGUGGAGCAGGUAAGUUUGUGGCAGCACCAGAGUCCUCCAAAAAGUCUUCUGGCAAAGAACCAGGUUGUGAGGGCAGCAGUCUUAGCAAAGAUGCCCACACUUCGCUCUCCUCCAGCUCCUCUUGGGGGACCCCGGGGCCAGCUGAGAGACGUAGUCUCCCCAGCGUGUCCUGGGUCUCCCUUAGUGAGACAUGCAUGGAACCCCCCCCCCAGGGAGGCGUCCUCCUCUGGAUGUAGAGAGGAAGUGGCUCCACUUAGAGCUCUCCAGGUGAGCGAGCUUCCUGAACCUGUUCCGUUGAGAUAUUUUCAUGAACCCCUUCUAUUUGCAGAAACGGCUUUCUCCACAGACCGUGCAGUUCUUCUGCUCUGAUGUAGUCUACGAGUUCUGAUCGCAUUUGGAGAAGGUUGUGGUUCUGUGUCCUGAGAUGCAGGACCUGUUGAACAUGUGUCCUUUUCAAGUUCACUCUUGGAUGUGUGAGUUUGCAAACAUACAUUUUGGUUGAAAUGAUGAGGAUCCGAGGAUGAAAUCAAGAAGGGACAACAUCAGGGAAAGGGACUGAACCGACUGCACAGCUUCCUCUCUUCAGCAGACACAUGUUCCCAGUACAUAUGUGUCAAAUAUUGACAUCCUCGCCGUUCAGGCCGGUGGCUGGAACAAGCGGAAGUCAGAAAAGCUGGAGCAGACGUGACCAGAAUGAUACCUCCAGGACCAAUCAAAAUGACCCAGAGAAAAACACUGAAGGGCUUUGUCUGAGCAUCAGGAAAACAAGAAUCAGCAUAUGGUUAUGGUGCCAUGGUGAAGAACUAAAGGCUCUAUGAUGUCAUGCUGCUGACCAGACUGUGGUUGGUGAAGUCCAGCAGCACUUCGAGUCCUUGAAGUGUGGUUGAAGAGCUCUCCUCCCAGCUUUUGGAAGGCAGCACAGAGGCAUUGAUGGAGAGAGAACAUGAGGGACUAAUUGUCUGUUGAGGAGGAGACUUUCUGCAGUUCAAGCCCCAGCUCCACCCCUAAAAAAAGCCUUAUAUGAAGGAAAACCUCAUUUCAACUU